AUUGAACGCUGGCGACAUGCCUUACACAUGCAAGUCGAACGGUAACGCGGGGCAACCUGGCGACGAGUGGCGAACGGGUGAGUAACGCAUCGGAACGUGCCCAAUAGUGGGGGAUAGCCCGGCGAAAGCCGGAUUAAUACCGCAUACGACCUACGGGUGAAAGCAGGGGAUCGCAAGACCUUGCGCUAAUGGAGCGGCCGAUGUCAGAUUAGGUUGUUGGUGGGGUAAAAGCCCACCAAGCCGACGAUCUGUAGCUGGUAUGAGAGGACGACCAGCCACACUGGGACUGAGACACGGCCCAGACUCCUACGGGAGGCAGCAGUGGGGAAUUUUGGACAAUGGGCGCAAGCCUGAUCCAGCCAUGCCGCGUGCGGGAUGAAGGCCUUCGGGUUGUAAACCGCUUUUGUUAGGGAAGAAAUCUUUUGAGCUAAUACCUCGGAAGGAUGACGGUACCUAAAGAAUAAGCACCGGCUAACUACGUGCCAGCAGCCGCCGUAAGAC
rnacentral:rRNA from 1 species